CCCCAGCCCAUGUGAUGUCAGGAUAAAUAUGUGGGAAGCCAAUGCAGCAGAAAAUCCAGCCAGAGGAAUGUCUGGUGCAGGGUGAGAACUUUCCCAGAGAAGCCUGGCUGGUGCUGGAGUGGCAGGCAGGAGGACAAGCUGAGCUCUUCAGGAAGGAGGUGCUGCCCAACUGGCAGCAGGAAACCAGCUGCGUUUCCUGGGCAGGUCCCAGCCUGGUAGGGCACACACGAG
rnacentral:lncRNA from 12 species